GCAACUGGAGCCAAUACUCCUGCUGCACCCCCUAGUGCUCCCUGCGGCAUAACCCCUGUCGCCUGUCCCGGAUUAAGGUGAGGCAGCCGAUUCUUGAUCCACUCAUAGAGGUGCCCCAAUCGGAUUAGGUUUUCAAUCUCAUCCUUGAGAUUUUUGCAUUCAUUGGUGCUGUGCCCAAUGUCGUUGUGGUACUCGCAUCUUUUGUUGGGGUCCCUCCGGGAGCUAUCCUUGUAUAAGGGAGGUGGUCUCCGGUAGUGCGUAUUUUGCCUAGUAGCAAAGUACACACACUCUUGGGAGUCUGUCAACUCCGUGUACUGGGUGUACUGCGGAGUGUAUCCCUUUUUUUGUCGUUUUUCCUCCGUCCGGGUGCUGCCUUUGGAGGAUCGUUUGCUCCUCGAGCCCUGGGAAGGACCUGCCAAGCUGGCGGUUGGAGCGGAGUGCGAGGGAGCUUGUCCAUUUAUCCCCGAGGGAUUUCCAAAAUAGGACGAUGCGGGGGCCAAGGCCGGACCCUGACUGUAUCCGGGAGUAGCAGAGAAUUGUAUGCCGCUCAUAGGUGGAGCUGCGGUCAGGACAGUACCCGACGACGGGGCUUCGGGCAUAUACCCUGCUAUCCCGGUGGGAUAGUAUCCUCCAUAGGCCACUAUUUGGGCCUCUUCAAGGUUGAUGUAUUUUUGGACUCUUUUCUGGAAGUCCUGAAGGUUUGCGGCUCCUUCCUGUUGUAGUUCGUUCCAGAAGGGAGUCCCUGUACGGAUGCCUGCCUGGAGAAGGGUAAGCUGUUGUCCGUCAUCAACUCUCUGGGUUUUCAAGGCUUCCUCUCGGAACCUCUUUAUGUAGUUUUUCAAGGUCUCUGUAGGCAGCUGCUUGAUAUUAGUCAAGGCACUGACUUCCAGGUUGACCUUUCUUGCGGCGACAAACUGUCUCCGGAAGUUGGUCUGUAACUUAUUCCAACAGCCCACGGAUCGUGGUUCCAGCUUCUUGAACCAUUCCUCCGCGGACCCGCUUAGAGUAAGCGGGAAGCACAGACAUUUUGCGUUAUUGCUGACUCUCAUGACCGUCAUGACACGGUUAAACCGCGAUAAGUGGUCGCUUGGGUCGGAGUUCCCGGUAUAAGCUGCCAUUUCGGGCAUCUUAAAGUUCUUGGGGAGCUCUGCUUCCAGGAUGUGCUUAGCACACGGCUCCCGGUCCUCACAGUCUGAGUCGGAGUCGUCCCCUUUCUGUCUCCGAGAGACUCGGGCGAUAUCUUUUCGGAGUAUGGCAAGUUCCGCCAUGAUUCCUUCAUUUAACGUUCCCGUGGAGACCGCGGGCCCGUAUUUCUUUUGGUCAAGGUGAUCCCGGAGGUCACCUUGAUUCCCAUUGAUUUGAUUUCUCAAAUCUACAGGAGGACAUCUCUGUCCUCUUCUCCCUCUACCUCCGGGCUCUUGGUGCACGGAAACACUUUUUUGCUCCUCUCGAUCCUGAGGGCCAAGACUCCCUUUUUGGAGUUUGCCCCUCUGCGGACCUUUCCCUUUCGGGAAAUCAGAGCGGACCUUUCGCGGAUCAUGUGCCUUUUUCUUUCUUCCAGGGGUAGAGGUAGGAUUUUUCUUUUGGUUCCCUUCAGCGGGAUACCUUACAGGGCUAGGUUCCCUAGACUUUUGCUGUUGGGUACUAGGCGAGGAUUCCUCUGGUUCCUUGCCAAGUCCAGCAGUCAUUGCCUUGGGAUGCACGUGGAUGCCAGCCGCCUCCAUGGCUUUUUGCAUGGCCAGCAUUGCCUCUUGCAUUUUUUAGUUUUGUGCUUUUUGGGCUGCGAUCUCAGCUUCAUGAUCGACAGCCUUUUGUCUGAGAAGCACCAGCUCUGAGUAACUACCCUCAUCGUAGGCGUACUCAUCGAUGUUCCCUUCGUAAUCAUCAUCAGGAAUUCCUUCUUCUUCCUCGGAGCCCUCAGCUGCUCUUGAGGCUACGUCUUCCUCAUUCGGGUCUUGAGCGUCUUCUAGAGGGCGAGGUUGACGAGUGCUUCUAGUUUCCACCAUUGUUGUAAUGUAAAGUGUAUUUAGAGAAGCUUUCUUCAGCUCUCAAUGAAAGCACCAAAAUGUUGACCGAGGUUUUCAGCAACCAAUGAAAUAAUAGAAGAUUAAAGAGCUGUAAGAAAUUAAGAGAAGGAUUUUUACGUGGUUGGGGCGUUAAUGACCCUUAGUCCACGAGUCUGUAUAUUUAUGAGUGUAUUUAAUACAGAGAAUGUUCUUGGUGAGUAUUUACUCCUCUUGCACUUAUGCAACCCAAAAAUCUCGACCCUCUUUAAUGAGCUUUGAGGGGGUAUUUAUAGUGUUUUUGGUGGGGUGAUUCCCAGGAUUAUAGUACAUGUGUUUCUGUAAAUAUUCAUAAAGUUGGGUAUUCCCAAUGAAUAUACCAUGAGUAAUGCAUGGUCAAAUCCCUAGGUGUUGUAGGGCUUUUAUGUGGAAUGUCCUUAUUGCCUUUUGACUGACGUGACUCUUCGCAGUGUAGCCGUCAAUAGACUUAAGUGAUCAUAGCUUCGUAGGUGCAGAUUGGGGGUUGUGUCGUCAGACUUUAUUGCGUGUGGCAGUCCUAACACGUUUCCUCCCAUGCGGCAUUAAAUGCGAGAUGACUGGUCAGGGGAAGCCUGGCACCUCGCGGAGAUGCUUUGAUGUUACUUAGGCCUCCGGGAGCAUAGAGGACUCCGGAUGCCUUCUCCGGGAGGCAGGUCUCGGAAGACGCCUUUCUUCAUCAAGACUUAGCAAUUAAUUUAAAUGUUAAGAUCUUUCGGUCCACGUGUCCCUAUCCGGUGGGUCCACGUAUAUUGGGCAAAAUCAGGGGCAACAAUUAAUAUUAAAGUUAAAAGCAUAAGAUAAUUAAUUUGUAUGUUUGUAGUUGUAAAAUACAGAAUAAUGUGUUUAUAGAAUAAAUUGGAUCAUAUUUUAAAGAAAAAAGAAGAAGUUCGGUUUAGGCGGUUUAAACCGACCAAACUAAGAUUCAAAACAGUCAGUAUUAAGAUAGGUUUUGGAUUGGUCAGUCUUCGGAUUGCACCAACCCAGACCAAAAACCAAAUUAUAUAUUUUUAUAUAAAAAAAACUGAGGAAAUUGACCGAUACUCAACCUAACAGGAUGACUCAGUUUCACAUUUAUUAAACUUUCUCAAGUCUUUAUACUGUAUACUAUACUAUAGAGGACUCCUUUAGAGCGAUUUGAAAUUUCAACUUUUGCCGAAAAUGUAAAGGCACCGCCACUAAUAAUAGUUAUCUUUCUAUUUUAUUUUUAAAUUAGAAAAGUCAAUAUAUUUUUUAUAUUUACACUCUGAUUUAUUUAAUUUAGUUUACAAUAUGAUUUUUUUUUUUUUUUUUUAAAUAUUGGGGAGGUUUAAUAUUUUCUAUUAUUAUUAUUUUGCAUAUAAAAUAUUAAUUAUUUUCAAUAUUUUUUAUUAAACUAGCUAGUAAUGGUUGGACCCCCCGCCCGCCGGUUUGCUAUAAAUUACUAUUAUUAUUUUUAUAAAUGAUAUCAAUUAUUUUCUUUCAAAAAAAAAAAUAAAAUAACAGAUAUCAAUUAUUUUAUUUUUUUUAACAAACUGAUAUCAAUUAUUAUUAUUAUUAUUUUUCGAAUAGAACUGAUAUCAAUUAUUAUUUUCAUAACUAAUAUCAAUUAUUAUUAUCCUAUCUUCUGUUUACAUUUUUUUUUUUUAAAAAAGGAAUUUUUUUCCCUUUUGAAUGAAAACGGGAUAUUAUUUCUAAUUUGAAAUAUAUAUCUUUCAAAAUAAUAAAUAAAAUAAUUGUCAUUAUUUGCUGUAAAGAAAAAGAGUUGAAGGGAAGAGCGUGAGUGCGUCACUCUAAUAUAACGAAAUUAACUAAUAUAUAUAAUUUCCAGAAAAAAAAAGACUAAUAUAUAUAAUAAUAAUUCUAUAAAUAUCUCUCUAUAUAUAUGUGUAAUAUACAGAGAGAGAUACGGAGAAGAAAAAGAAGGGAAUCUAGAUUGGACAUCAUCGAUCGCAGACCCGGCCAAUUUACGAGCAAGCAGAUCGUCAUUUUAUGGAUAAGACAGCACUUGGCAAGGAGGUUUCUGAGGAAGUGACUCGAGAGUCGCUUAUAUCCAUUUCUUACUCUCUACCAGAGAAGGUUCUUACUUCAAAACGCUCUGUUGACAAGGUGAACGGUGAGAGUCUUGUAGAAAGAGUAGAUUUUGAUGGAGAAGAUAAGUGUAGGUCUGAAUUGAUUUCGAUUUCUUACACACAGUCACCAGAUGUCGGAGGCCUACCUGACGGAGUACUCAAGGAUUAGCCUGGUAGCUGUAGUAUUAGGUCCUCACACUUUUAUGUAUUUUAUCUAAUUAUGUGGUGUAUAACUCUAAUCAGUGUGAGUGUGUUUAAGUCUUUAUUUUAUGAUAUUUACCUUGUAAAAAAUUGACAUUGCAAGUGCUUCCCACUGUUGUUAUGAGUGAAAAAGCUUUGUUAAAACUAUGUCAUGAAAAUGUGUUCACAGAAUUUGAUUAAA